AUCAGCCCUCAUUUUGUAAGAAAUAAUCAAUGGUACAAAUGCCUCAGAUCCAAACCCAUGUUCCAGGCCAUCCAGGAAGCCAGCACCAAGACAGCGAGGCGCUCUGAGACACCUGCUGGGCCUGUCCUACCUCACCAAUGGCUGCAACAAAUUCAGAAGCCAACUGCUUGACAUGGGGACCCUGCCCAGGCCAGUUGAGCACUUGGAAUGUGUCCCAGGUCCUGUCUGUCUCUGUAUGGGCCUUCAGUUUGUUCCCUAAGACUACUGCAGAUAUAGGUGAAAACCUUGUUUUUCCUUCCACACCCUCCCUUCCCCCAUGUGGGGAAAACUGUCAUGGGAACAGAUCACCAGACCGAGGUCGCCACUGAUGCAGGCAUGCUGUUCCAGCUCCUGAUAUACCCCAAGUCUUCCAUCCACAAGACAGCCUGGGCCCUGGCUUGUGCAAGCAGACCCAGGGAAAAUACCCCAAACUGAAAAUCUACCUCCCUAGACUGAAGAAAGAGGCUGGCCACUGCAGGCUGUGUGUUUCCAUGGGUCCCACCAGAGACCGAGCAGUUCUUCCCAUGCAGGAGCAUGAAGUACCUGACCCAUCCCAGUGGAAAGUCCCUUUACAGAUUCCGGUAAGUGUCUCUGUUCCAGGGACAAUAGGAUUUGGUGCCUUGAUAGCUUGUUGGCCCUGGCAAACAUCGGAUCUACUGCUAUGUCCUUUGUUUUCUACACCUUUUCCCUACUGGGUGCCUCAGGCUGAGUUCCCAGCCUGACGUGUGGAGAAGUGUGCCCACAGGGUGGUUAUUAAAUGUAUUAGUGGUUGGGAAAGCAGGUCUGUCCACCUGGCCCAAGUAGGUUUUCCAGUCCAUAACUUUGCUGUUUGAGGACACCAUUUUUCCGUCAGACCAACCCAGUUGCCUGUGGGUUAUACAGGAGAUGGAAUCGCCAUUCAGUAACUCUAUUGACCGGGUCACUAUAUUUUAAAGGCAGCCCUGCCUCUGUAGCGAUCCACCAUCCUAUUUGGGUACUAUGAUGUCCACUCUUCCGGUGUACCCAAUCUACAGGGUCAACUGACAGGUCAGUUGCUAAUGCAUGUAUUUUUGCCAAGUCAUCUGCCUCCUGGAGGUAGAGACACCUUCUGGACAAGGACAUGGAAAACAAGGUCUGCCUCAGACUCUUGCAAGUGAGUCCAAGUAUGUUUCUACAUCUAUUGUCUCCAUAAAUGCUUGCUCAUAAUUAUUUACUCCUCUGUUUCUACUGUCUAAGCCAGUGAUGGUGAACCUAUGACACGCGUGUCAGAGGUGACACGUGAACUCAUUUUUUUGGGGUUGAUUUUUCUUUGUUAAAUAGCAUUUAAAUAUAUAAAAUAAAUAUAAAAAAUAUAAGUCUUUGUUUUACUAUGGUUGCAAAUAUCAAAACAUUUCUAUAUGUGACACGGCACCAGAGUUAAGUUAGGGUUUUUCAAAAUGCUGACACGCCGAGCUCAAAAGGUUCGCCAUCACUGGUCUAAGCCAUAACCCAACUGGCUGCACACAGGAUCAGUGGCCAAGGUUCAGGUAUGAUCACCAACCAGACAGCUUGUCAAGCAGCCCAGGUAGUGUCAGUGGAUGGUUGGGUGGAAGCUGCCAUCUGGGUAGAGGGAUUACCCUGGCUGAGCCGUUGGUGUCCCAGGGCCCAGCUGGAAGUUUUCCUCUUCUUUUUGCAGGUUGCAGAGGUUGACACAGGGAUAGGAGCAGCAGUAUUUGGAAGGUAGUACUCCUAUGCUGCAGGAAUACUCGCCAUGUGGUCAGCAUAGGAGCCUGAGCCAUGGCAGAUGCAGUUCAGCGGAACAUGUUGUCAAUCCAGUUCUUGAUGGGAAGGGAAGUUCUGUAACUCGCUUCUCUUUGGAGGAAAAGUUAUCUUAAACUGCUUCAGAGGAUUCCAUGAAGAAGAGAGGAAGGCAGAGAGAGAGAAACAUCGAUCAGUUGCCUCUUGUACACACCGCGACAGGCGAUUGAACCUGCAACCUUUUAGUGUAUGGGACAACGCUCCAGCCAACUGAGCCACCC